AACCAUAGAAACCUGCGGAGUACCUGCGGAGGGAUCAUUAUAGAAUUUCUAUCACAGAAAAGAUUCCUCUUUCUCUUUGGGGAGGGGGUUUCUUUUCUGAACAAACAAACAAACAUGACUAGGAAAAUCAAGUGGAAUGGUUGUUGGGGGGGGUCAUGGCUUGUUGGCUUGGCUUGACUGUGUGUGUGUGUGUGGCAUGCUGCACUCUGCACUGGCUAGCUUAUAGCCUACGGCUUGAGA
rnacentral:misc_RNA from 1 species